rnacentral:misc_RNA from 1 species
AACGCACAUUGCGCCCCUUGGUAUUCCGAGGGGCAUGCCUGUUCGAGCGUCAUUACAACCCUCAAGCAAUGCUUGGUCUUGGGCCCCGCCAGUCAUCCGGCGGGCCUUAAAAUCAGUGGCGGUGCCGUCAUGGCUCUGAGCGUAGUAAAUCAUCUCGCUACAUUGGGUCCUGGUGGAUUGCUUAGCCAGCAACCCCCAACUUUCUAUGGUUGACCUCGGAUCAGGUAGGGAUACCCGCUGAACUUAA